UCCCUGGUGGUCUAAUGGUUAGGAUUUGGCGCUGUCACCGCUGUGGCCUGGGUUUGAUUCCCAGUCAGGGAG